rnacentral:rRNA from 1 species
AACGAACGCUGGCGGCAGGCCUAACACAUGCAAGUCGAGCGAGGACCUCGGUUCUAGCGGCGGACGGGUGAGUAACGCGUGGGAAUGUGCCCUUCUCUACGGAAUAGCCCUGGGAAACUGGGAGUAAUACCGUAUACGCCCUAUUGGGGAAAGAUUUAUCGGAGAAGGAUCAGCCCGCGUUGGAUUAGGUAGUUGGUGGGGUAAUGGCCUACCAAGCCGACGAUCCAUAGCUGGUUUGAGAGGAUGAUCAGCCACACUGGGACUGAGACACGGCCCAGACUCCUACGGGAGGCAGCAGUGGGGAAUCUUAGACAAUGGGGGCAACCCUGAUCUAGCCAUGCCGCGUGAGUGAUGAAGGCCUUAGGGUUGUAAAGCUCUUUCAGCUGGGAAGAUAAUGACGGUACCAGCAGAAGAAGCCCCGGCUAACUCCGUG